GCCGGGUGUGCUGGUGCACAUCUGUAAUCCCAGCUACUCAGGAGGCUGAGGCAGAAGAAUUGCUUGAACCCAGGAGUCGGAGGUUGCAGUGAGCCGAGAUCAAACCACUGCAACUCCAGCCUAGGUGACAGAGUGAGACUCUGUCUCAA
rnacentral:SRP_RNA from 2 species